GGCACAUAGAGCCUCCUCCGUCCACAUAUAGAGGGAGUGCAAUACUGGAGGGCAGGAAUCAGCCUGAUGGCCUCAGACCUUCACAAUGUAAAGGCCACAUCUGUGUUUUUUGCAUUUGGGAUGGUACCUGAACCUGAGGUGCCAUUUCUUUUAUAGAAGUAGUGACCAGAGAGCAAACCUCUUUCACUCUUAGUAACAGCUUCAAUUACUAAAGCAAAGCUGCCCUAGGUGAGCUCUUUCCCCUGGCUGCUGCUUGCUAGGGCUGUACCCUGCAGGAGGUGGCUUCUGUCUUCCCGUGCUCUCAGCAUGGUGGCCCUUACUCGCAGGAAUAGUUACAAGGAGGAUAAGGCUGUGCACCCAAAGAUGGAGGAGGCUGCUAAAUCAUCCAUCAUUUCCUGGAGACCUUCAGGCUGGAGGGAUGCGGAAUAAUUUCUUUUUGUGGUCUAAACAUAGAAUCAAAAGCUGUGCAAGGAGUUGCCUUUUUGUUGUUAAAAACAGGUAAAUAGAGAGACAGCUAGAUAUGAAAAUACCUAUAUAUACAGAUAAAAAUAUACAUCUUUAUCUUCAGCUACAUAUGGAUAUAGAUCCAAAUGUAAUUUUUCUCAUGGCUGCCAUUAAGAAGAGCCUCAGCCAGGGCUUGGGGGGUCCUCACCAUUCUGUUUUUCAAAUCCGUGUAUAAAUAAACUAACCAGCCAAUCACCCCAAGAUCAAACAACCUGGUGAAAACAGCUACCUCAUGGAUGCCUGCCCCGUGCAGAUCCCCUGUACAACUGUGAACCGGAUCAAAGGCUGGAGUUACCAGAUCCCUUAUUGUAAGUGACACUUGCAAAUGUUAACCCUGCUUCGUGUUUCCAACCCAUACCUGAAUAAAUGCAUAAUCAUAUCACACAGCAUAAUUAAUAAGAGUAUCACCAUGAAGGACUCUUAAAGGAAAGGCUGUUGAAAGAGAGUUCCUGAAGAUAAUCCUUUUAAAAGGUUUCCUUAAAAUGCAACCACUAGCGGGAAUAAGGUAGGUUUAGUUCCAAUGUCUCAAUACCUCUGGUUAGCACAGUUUUAGAUCUUGUAAAUGUCUUUCCUUUAAUAGUGGCUUGACUUUUGAUUUGGGACUUGCACUUUUUUGGAGGAUCUCAUUGCUGCUGUGGUUCUCAAUGGAGAAGGUCCCCAGAGGAGGCCCAGCCUGGCUCCCCUUUCCAUUGACCCAUCGGGGACUCACAACCUCGUUUCUGCUGGAAAUCAAACAUGACUGCGUCUUGCCUGCUUGUAAUAACCUGUCUAACUUCACCAUUCUGGAGCAAGAACUGAUGUCCCGCACUUUUAUUUAAUUUGAGUAAUUUUCAGGGUGCUGCUUAAUUUGUCUUUUUUCCUUAUCCUGGAUGGCACCCCAACUCCUGGGCCACGGAAACGGGGCUCGGCUUCUCCCAAGCUCUUUGCUUAGUGGUGUUGCUUGAGUCCUCCAUUGUGCUUAGAAAAGUCCUGCGUGGCAUCCACUGCCAGAGUCGGUCCUCAGUUUUGUCUUGAGGAUAUGCAAGCGCUGGACAACCCCACACUGUGUAUAUUCACCCUGAUGCAGCGACAUAGUCUGACUUGAGGUCUUCUGGCUCCCUCAGUGUGAGCGUUUCCAGAGGUGACUCUUUUCACCUAUAAAGCAGAGAUGGAACGAAGUGGGAGGAAGCUCCCCCUUCUGCAAGCUGGUGUAUUUGACAGCAGAGAUGGAGCCUGAGGUUGCAAAAGUCCUUUAAGGAGUAUGGAUUUCCAGAUGUCAUUUACUGUAUUAAAAGCUGGACACCCAAUCCAACUCCGAAAUGCUUGAACCUGGGAGUUGCUGGCAUCAAACCACUGUGAGUCAGCCAUGUGGGACAAAUGGCACUUGGUGUCCCAAGGAGCUCCUGAGGGAUUGUACUGUGACGAUGGAUGUGCACAGGCAUGUUGAAGAGACGCAGAAGUUAGA